rnacentral:ncRNA from 1 species
CCUCCGCCCUCCCCGCACAGGAGGGUGGACCGAGGCUCCGGCGUUCUCUGCCCUGACUGCGCCGAGGCCUCACCCACGGCCGCGGGACCGCACACCCUCGGCCGUUGCAACUCCGGGCUGCGGUGCCGGACGGGUUGAGGGUCCCGUCGCGGCGC